GUCAGUCCCGCAGGGAGAAGGUCAUCCAAGGUAAGUGUGCCCAUAGGGCACCGCCUUCUCCCUCCUGCCAAAAGGCAGGCUUGCGGGACAGGAGGU
ncrna:unclassified sequences DTF1874 RNA